CACUCCUGCGGGAGGCAGCAGUGGGGAAUUUUGGACAAUGGGCGAAAGCCUGAUCCAGCAAUGCCGCGUGUGUGAAGAAGGCCUUCGGGUUGUAAAGCACUUUUGUCCGGAAAGAAAUCCUUGGCUCUAAUACAGUCGGGGGAUGACGGUACCGGAAGAAUAAGCACCGGCUAACUACGUGCCAGCAGCCGCGGUAAUACGUAGGGUGCGAGCGUUAAUCGGAAUUACUGGGCGUAAAGCGUGCGCAGGCGGUUUGCUAAGACCGAUGUGAAAUCCCCGGGCUCAACCUGGGAACUGCAUUGGUGACUGGCAGGCUAGAGUAUGGCAGAGGGGGGUAGAAUUCCACGUGUAGCAGUGAAAUGCGUAGAGAUGUGGAGGAAUACCGAUGGCGAAGGCAGCCCCCUGGGCCAAUACUGACGCUCAUGCACGAAAGCGUGGGGAGCAAACAGGAUUAGAAACCCCGGUAGUCC
rnacentral:rRNA from 1 species